GUCCCCAUUGCAGAGCUGCAGCAAUGUGUUUGUUCCCAUUGCAGAUCUGCAGCAAUGUGUUUGUCCCCAUUGCAGAGCUGCAGCAAUGCGUUUGUUCCCAUUGCAGAGCUGCAGCAAUGCGUUUCUUUAUUGCAGAGCUGCAGUGAUGUUUGUUUCCCUAUUGCAGAGCUGCAGCAAUGUGUUUGUUUCCCUGUUGCAGUGGCACAGCAGCAAUGCAUUUGUUCCCCAUUGCAGAGCUGCAGCAAUGAGUUUGUCCUUGUUGUGGAGCUGCAGCUGUGUUUGUUUCUCUAUUGCAGAGCUGCAGCAAUGCCUUUGUCCCCAUUGCAGUGACACAGCAGCAGUGUGUUUGUCCCCAUUGCACAGCUGCAGCAGUGUUUCCCUAUUGCACUGCUGCAGCAAUGCAUUUGUCCCCAUUGCAGAGCUGCAGCAGUGCCUGUGUCCCAUCACAGCGCUGCAGCAGUGCCUGUGUCCCGUUGCAGAGCUGCAGCAAUGUCUUUAUUCCCCAUUGCAGCCCUGCAGCAGUGCCUGUGUCCCGUUGCAGAGCUGCAGCAAUGUCUUUAUUCCCCAUUGCAGCACUGCAGGAGUGCCUGUGUCCCAUUGCAGAGCUGCAGCAAUGUGUUUAUUCACCGUUGCAGCGCUGCAGCAAUGCCUGUGUCCCGUUGCAGCUCUGCAGCACUGUUUAUUCACCGUCGCAGCACUGCAGCAGUGCCUGUACCCUGUUGCAGCACUCCAGCAGUACCUCUGUCCCGUUGCAGCACUGCAGCAGUACCCGUGUCCCCUUGCAGAGCUGCAACAAUGCAUUUGUCCCAUUGCAGAGCUGCAGCAAUACCUGUGUCCCGUUGCAGAGCUGCAGCAGUACCCAUGUCCCCUUGCAGCGCUGCAGCAAUACCUUUGUCCCGUUGCAGCACUGCAGCGGUACCCGUGUCCCCUUGCAGCGCUGCAGCAAUACCUUUAUCCCUGUUGCAGAGCUGCAGCAGUGCGUUUGUCCCGUUGCAGAGCUGCAGCAAUACCUUUGUCCCAUUGCAGAGCUGCAGCAGUGCCUUGCCAUGUUGCAGAGCUGCAGCAAUACCUUUGUCCCGUUGCAGAGCUGCAGCAGUGCCUUGCCAUGUUGCAGAGCUGCAGCAGUACCCGUGUCCCGUUGCAGAGCUGCAGCAGUGCCUGUGCCGUGUUGCAGAGCCGCAGCAAUACCCAUGUCCCCUUGCAGAGCUGCAGCAGUGCCUUGCCAUGUUGCAGCGCUGCAGCAGUGC
rnacentral:lncRNA from 1 species